AUUAAGGGCUUCAUUUCCAGUGAAACCAAGCUAUCACCAGAAAGUAGGUCAACUAUUCUAAGCCUCUUUGACUCACAUGGGAAGAUGAGGCAGCAGCACUUGAGGCAGAGUUCUCUAGGAAAAUGAAGGUCCAUAAAGGAAAAGUCUGGAGUGAAAGCAAAUACUGGUUGAAAAAGUCAUUAAUCCACUUUGGAGAUUUGGAAACAAAGAAUGGCUCCUUGGGACCAAAGAAUGCACUGUACUGACAGCAUGUUGCUUAAGACUCUUAGUCUUGCCAGUGCAAAACAUGAGAGAGCAUUACAGAAGCUAGAACUGAAAACCACUACGUCUGGAUCCUUCCUGGCUUGUUGAUUGGUGCUGUGUCUAAAACCCUGGGGAUAUGCAUCAAAAGACAGUUGCUUGACUUUCACCUGCCAAGGAAAAAAAAGAAAAUCAGUCUAUAUGCCCUGGGGACAGAACUUCCAGUGUCAAAAAUUGUCUCAUGUCCCAA
rnacentral:lncRNA from 1 species